rnacentral:lncRNA from 1 species
CCCAGACCCAAAUAAACCAACCCAAGCUACACCUGAAAAUUUUAACUUUUUGAGUGAUUCAGUGGUAAUAUACAAGCAAAUACGCAAAAUUAUACAAAGCAGUUCAGUAUUCACUAUUCAGAGAAAUAAUCCAAUGGCCAUAUAAAAAUAGCUUAUCAACAUCAAAGUAAAAUAAAAAAAAAAAUUAUACUAGUAAUGUCCCAAAG